UACGUAGGGGGCUAGCGUUGUCCGGAAUCAUUGGGCGUAAAGCGCGCGCAGGCGGUCUUCCAAGUCAGUGGUGAAAGCCCGGAGCUCAACUCCGGAACUGCCAUUGAAACUGUAAGACUUGAGGAUGAGAGAGGUGAGUGGAAUUCCCAGUGUAGAGGUGAAAUUCGUAGAUAUUGGGAAGAACACCGGUGGCGAAGGCGGCUCACUGGCUCAUAUCUGACGCUCAGGCGCGACAGCGUGGGGAUCAAACAGG
rnacentral:rRNA from 1 species